UGGAAGAGAAAACAAAAAGGUUGAUAUGCCUGUUCCCAGCAGCUCAGCAGCCUGGCUCUCCGCCGCUGAACUCAGGCUCCCGCCAGUGCUGCAGCUGGCCCUGUCUCCCCAUCCCAGGGCACUCUCCCUUCUUCCCUCACUCCUCCUAAAUUCUUCAGACUAAUUUAUGGAUGGCAGGCAGAGCGGGUUCCAAGUCUGAGAUAAUGAAGGCACGGUAUUAGGAGAAGGCAGGAGAAGGAAGAGAGGGGCGGGGCUGUAAAUACUAAUUGUUGUAUCAGGAGGUUGCUUUUUAUUUCCUUACUGAAGGGAAGGCUAUGUUUAAUUAACUCUGCCUGUGUGCUGGGGAUGGGGCCUGAUUGAAAAUGAGUUACUGGGCCUCUGUGACAAGGCGGAGGGCACAAACUCUGAGGCAGAAAGUCCCAAAGGCUCUGAGCUAUCUGUUCCCAAAAACCCUGCCACGGCCCCCUCACACCCCUCCUGCAGCCUGCAGGUGUCCAGGCCUCUGCUUGAGCCCCUCUCCCUUCCAGGGACGCCCUUUCCCGUUUCCUCUGGCCAGCACCAACCUAUCCACUCACCUGCCCUCAGGCUGGCAUUAUUUGGGGACAAGAAACUGGAGGCCACGCUAGCUUCACUUAAGUCCAGGGAAUUUGAUUGUCAAGCUGUAGGUUGCCCAUGAACCCCAGAAGCUGGAAGAAUGGCUGGGCCUCUAGAACUCAGAAAUGGUAAGGAAUCAGAGGCAAAGCAGGUGCAUUCCCUCUUUUCCCCCAACCCCUGGCCUCUGCCCUACUCUCCUUCUCUCCUUGGUGCUAGCUCCUCUCUGACCCUCCAGUCUGAGGCCACCACAACUCCCGCUCUCUGGUUAUGUGGGUUUAAAUUCUUGGGUCUGAUCGCAGUCUCAUUGGUCAGACGCGCACCCGGGUCCCAUCAGCCAGGGCUAGCACAGUCAUGUGACUGUCCCUUGAGAGUCAAGCAUGGGGCUGGUUCCCUGGGGUAGAAGUGAGAGGACAGGAUGGCAUUGAUGAGCAGAAAAGGAAGGACAGGGGUGGUCUCAGGAUUCAAGGCCCACCUCCAAGCUCUCUCUUUCAUAAGUGUCCCGCUCCUGGACUCCCCUUUUGGAGUUAGUUAUGCUUCCACUGUGUUUUCACUACCCCUUUUACCAUGUACCAGCUGUGUGACCUUGGGUAAGUUACUCGCCCUCUCUGUGCCUCAGUUUCCGCAUCUGUAAAAUGAUGGAAAUAACAGUACUCACCUCAUGAGGUUGUUGUGAGAAACUCUUAAGGCAAAGAGGCAAAGCAUUUGGCACAUCCCCUGGGAGUACAGUAAGCACGUAGAUAUGUGAACUCUAAUUAUUGUUGUGAGUACUGUUUCAUCUUUAACAGCAUUUUGGGUGUCAUUUGGAAUCACUUUCUUAUGUGUGUGUCUCACCUACUACCUGAGUGCUCCUCCCUGGAGACACUCGGCGAUACUCCUCUAGCCAUUUGCCUGUGAACCUGCACCUGCCCCAGCACCUGGCAUGAGGUCAUUCUCAGUCAAUGCCUGAUGGGCGAAUGAUACUGACAACCACUUCUGUUUGCUGAGCACCUACUAUGUGCCAAGGCAGGAAGACCAGAGAUGGAGUGCCCCCGGGGAACAGGGCCCCUGAUACACAUUUGCUGAACAAAUCCAGAAGCAGAUACCCAGCAGAACUCCUCCCCAAACACACACCUCC
rnacentral:lncRNA from 10 species